rnacentral:rRNA from 1 species
UACGGGGGGGGCAAGCGUUGUUCGGAAUUACUGGGCGUAAAGGGCUCGUAGGCGGCCAACUAAGUCAGACGUGAAAUCCCUCGGCUUAACCGGGGAACUGCGUCUGAUACUGGAUGGCUAGAGGUUGGGAGAGGGAUGCGGAAUUCCGGGUGUAGCGGUGAAAUGCGUAGAUAUCCGGAAGAACACCGGUGGCGAAGGCGGCCUGCUGGGCAGUUGCUGACACUGAGGCGCGACAGCGUGGGGAGCAAACAGG